UAACAACACACAACAUUCCAGGAAUGUACUACCAAAGUUCUAUCAAUAUUUGAAUGUCCUGGACAUUUAGGGAACAUUCGGUGAACAUCUGAUUAAAUUAUUCGUGGAAUGUUACCAUAAGACAUUCUGUGAACAUACUACCAAUGUUCCUUUUGUUAAUAUGUUCAUUUUCAAACUCACGGCGCAUGUAUUUGUGCAUGGUGCUUAGAGAGGGCAUCACGUGACUAAAAACGACCAAUGACCUCACUUCAGACUUCGGUGCUUCGGCCAUCUUGACAUGCAUCUUGGCCUUGGCCACCUUGCCGUGCGUGAUCGUUGUUUGUUUUUAUUUGUGCUUUUUAAGAAUAUUUUUUAAUUCGGAUACUUUUAUAAUAACUUUAAUAGUAUUAUUAAUAUAGUGCAUAAAAUCAGUUGGAGUAGCAGAAGCAAUGUAGAUAAAAAAUCUGCAGGAAUAAUGUUUCAAAGCUUUCCAGAAGAUCCUGCGAAGAAGGCAUGAAGUAUUGAUCAGAUUUGUUAAUAGAGCAGUAUGUUCAAAACAUUUUUUAGAAAAAGAUAUUGACAGAACUUCACUUUCAACCGUGAACUUCACUUUCAACCGUUUGAGAGACUGUGCUGUUCCAAUAGCUUAUAUCACACAGAAUCAGCUGAGAGAAGUGGUCUACAAAAAACCAGGAAGGAAAUGGAAUAUGUGGCUAUGAAAGGCAAAAGAAAGGUUUACAAAGCAAAUGUGACACAUUUUUUUAUAGGAAUAUCAGUAAAUUACAUUAAAAAAAUGUAUGAAAAAAUUUUUUGCAAUAAAAAUGUUUAUAUUUA
rnacentral:lncRNA from 1 species